GUAUUCGGGUAAUCGAGCAGAAUAUUCUGUUAGGAAAGUCCUUGCUAGCACCAGCUGAGAUGCGGUAGUGAUUAUGUCCAUAUAUAAUAAAUAAAAUGGAACACUUGAAAUGUGAUGGCGAAAGUUUUUCCUUUAAAAUGGAAAAAUUUUCUUAACGUGCCACAGUGACGAUACUUUAGGGAAACUUAAAGAGUGAAACGCGGUAAACCCCAUAAGCUAGAAACCCAAAUUUUGGUAGGGGAAUCUUUAGUUGUGAAAUGAAAUGACUAAAGGAAGUUUAAUAAACUUAGAUAAAUGAUUACCACACGAUAUGUGUACAGAACAAGGCUUAUAGAA
rfam:Coprobacillus sp. CAG:698 genomic scaffold, scf60